GGCACAAUGGAUCAAUGGUACAUCGUCUCCAACUUAUUUCAAGACCACAAACCAACGUUAUACUGUAGGAGAAAAUCACGGUUCGAAUCCAUGUUGUGGCA